rnacentral:rRNA from 1 species
AACGAACGCUGGCGGCAGGCUUAACACAUGCAAGUCGAACGCCCCGCAAGGGGAGUGGCAGACGGGUGAGUAACGCGUGGGAAUCUACCCAGAUCUUCGGAACAACUGAGGGAAACUUCAGCUAAUACCGGAUACGCCCUACGGGGGAAAGAUUUAUCGGAUUUGGAUGAGCCCGCGUUGGAUUAGCUAGUUGGUGGGGUAAUGGCCUACCAAGGCGACGAUCCAUAGCCGGUCUGAGAGGAUGAUCAGCCACACUGGGACUGAGACACGGCCCAGACCCCUACGGGAGGCAGCAGUGGGGAAUAUUGGACAAUGGGCGAAAGCCUGAUCCAGCCAUGCCGCGUGAGUGAUGAAGGCCUUAGGGUUGUAAAGCUCUUUCAGUAGGGAAGAUAAUGACGGUACCUACAGAAGAAGCCCCGGCUAACUUCGUGCCAGCAGCCGCGGUAA